rnacentral:rRNA from 1 species
UACGGGGGGGCAAGCGUUGUUCGGAAUUACUGGGCGUAAAGGGCUCGUAGGUGGCCAACUAAGUCAGACGUGAAAUCCCUCGGCUUAACCGAGGCAGGUCGUCGGAUACUGCGGAACUUGAGGACGGUAGAGGCGUGUGGAAUUCCGGGUGUAGUGGUGAAAUGCGUAGAGAUCCGGAGGAACACCAGUGGCGAAGGCGACACGCUGGGCCGUACCUGACACUGAUGCGCGACAGCAUGGGGAGCAACAGG